CCUACGGGAGGCAGCAGUGGGGGAUAUUGCACUAUGGGGGGAACCCUGUUGCAGCGUCGCCGCGUGGGUGAAGAAGCGCCUCGGCGCGUAAAGCCCUGUCAGCAGGGAAGAAAAUGACGGUACCUGAAGAAGAAGCCCCGGCUAACUACGUGCCCGCAGCCGCGGUAAUACGUAGGGGGCAACCGUUAUCCGGAUUGACUUGGGGUAAGGGGGGCGCAGACGGCGAUGCAAGCCAGGAGUGAAAGCCCGGGGCCCACCCCCGGGACUGCUCUUGGGACUGCGUGGCUGGAGUGCAGGAGGGGCAGGCGGAAUUCCUGGGGUAGCGGUGAAAUGCGUAGAUAUCAGGAGGACCACCGGUGGCGAAGGCGGCCUGCUGGACUGCAACUGACGUUGAGGCCCGAAAGCGUGGGGAGCAAACAGGAUUAGAUAACCGUGUAGUC
rnacentral:rRNA from 1 species